CAAUGAGGUAGAGGUCGCGAACCUUAUUAACCCUAUGGAGUGCAGAGACACGUGGAAAUAGGUCUAGGAAGUUUCGCCGAAAUGUACAAAAUUCUCUUUGUUUUGUAUGUUGGGACGCAAGCAAAUAACUUGCGGACUGUCUUAGCAGUGAUGCUAAGUUGCGCUAUGUUUUUG
rfam:Enterococcus gilvus ATCC BAA-350 genomic scaffold acEQl-supercont1.3, whole genome shotgun sequence.